rnacentral:lncRNA from 1 species
GGGGUUGACAUGUACAUGUUUGAAACAAAAGUGUAUAAAUAAAUGAAUUGUUGAUAACGUAGUUAUUGACCUGGAGACUGGUAGCUAUUGAAGAAACUCCA